rnacentral:misc_RNA from 1 species
AAAGUCGUAACAAGGUUUCCGUAGGUGAACCUGCGGAAGGAUCAUUACAAGUAUUGUGUUGUGGUUAGGUGAGGUAUAUGGCGGUGCUUUUUAAGAUUCCGCCGAUACCAAGCCGCUACUACUACCUUCAUGCGUGUUGUGUUUGACAGAGUCAUAUGUGAGCAAACAGUUAAAACUUUUAACAAUGGAUCUCUUGGUUCUC